GCCCAGGUGGCGGAAUAGGUAGACGCAAGGGACUUAAAAUCCCUCGGUUGUUAUGAUCGUGCUGGUUCAAGUCCAGUUCUGGGCA
rnacentral:tRNA from 1 species